AGCGGCGUAGCUCAGUUGGCUAGAGCAUACGGUUCAUACCCGUAGGGUCGGGGGUUCAAAUCCCUCCGCCGCUA
rnacentral:tRNA from 15 species